rnacentral:rRNA from 1 species
CUACAACGGAGAGUUUGAUCCUGGCUCAGGAUGAACGCUGGCGGCGUGCUUAACACAUGCAAGUCGAACGGGCCUUCGGGCUAGUGGCGGACGGGUGAGUAACGCGUGAGAAUCUGCCCUCAGGAGGGGGAUAACAGCUGGAAACGGCUGCUAAUACCCCAUAUGCCGAGAGGUGAAACGAAUUUCGCCUGAGGAUGAGCUCGCGUCUGAUUAGCUAGUUGGUGAGGUAAGGGCUCACCAAGGCAUCGAUCAGUAGCUGGUCUGAGAGGAUGAUCAGCCACACUGGGACUGAGACACGGCCCAGACUCCUACGGGAGGCAGCAGUG